AUAAAUCACAAUGCGGAACUAUGUAGUUUUGCAAUUGGAUUGAGAACAAUUUAGAAGAGUUAUCGAUAAACAAUUGGAGGGCAAGUCUGGUGCCAGCAGCCGCGGUAAUUCCAGCUCCAAUAGCGUAUAUUAACGUUGUUGCAGUUAAAAAGCUCGUAGUUGAAGUGUGGGGUAAUAUGAUAUUAAAACUCAUCUGAGUUUUAGUACUUAGUUACUCCCUCUCCAAUUUGUUAUUAUGGGUAUUAAUUUACUUGUAAUAAUGGUUGGUCAUUUACUGUGAGAAAAUUAGAGUGUUCAAAGCAGGCAUUUUGCUUGAAUAGAUUAGCAUGGAAUAAUAAUAAAAGGCUUUUAUGGUCGAUUUAAUUGGUUUGUUCAUGAAAGCAAGAUUAAAAGGGACAGUUGGGGGUAUUCAUAUUCAAUAGUUAGAGGUGAAAUUCUCGGAUUUAUGGAAGAUGAACAA
rnacentral:rRNA from 1 species